CGUCAGCUCGUGUCGUGAGAUGUGGUUAAGUCCCGCAACGAGCGCAACCCCUAUUGUUAGUUGCCAUCAUUCAGUUGGGCACUCUAGCGAGACUGCCGGUAAUAAACCGGAGGAAGGUGGGGAUGACGUCAAAUCAUCAUGCCCCUUAUGACCUGGGCUACACACGUGCUACAAUGGUUGGUACAACGAGUUGCGAGUCGGUGACGGCGAGCUAAUCUCUUAAAGCCAAUCUCAGUUCGGAUUGUAGGCUGCAACUCGCCUACAUGAAGUCGGAAUCGCUAGUAAUCGCGGAUCAGCACGCCGCGGUGAAUACGUUCCCGGGCCUU
rnacentral:rRNA from 1 species